GUGAAUCCAUGUUCACGUCUCACAAUAUCAACAUCAUAGCAUAUCUAACCGUGUUAAAUGGGGACGCCGUAUUGAUUGGAAGCAAAUGUGGAUCUGAUAAUCCGUCAUCGUGAUUUUCUUUCUUAUAAUAUCUAGUGCAAUUCUGUCUGUGCCUGUGUAUUUUUUCCGUCUUGGUUUUGUAAGGUUUAUUUUACAUAUUUCAUCACAUGUAUUUCAACAGGGAUCAACCAUUCUAAUAUCAGCAAAAGCUAACAGCAACUUUUUCCAUUUCCAUGGCCACAUAAUCUUCAUCUUUCUUCUCAUCCUCUGAUUUCUCAACCUUCAAUUUCUUAAUCCCCACAGAUGUCUGCUUUGUCAUUCGUGCAAACAUGUUUGAGUAGAGUUUUGCAUCUCU
rnacentral:misc_RNA from 1 species